GAUAUCGACGGGGAGGCAGAGGAUGAUGAGGUUGGUGACCAAUUCUGCAUUGUGAAACGGUGGAGAUGGAAGGCGGCCGCGCAGGUGGGAGUUGUAUAUGGAGAUGGCACAUCGUUUGCAGCAGCCGUUGAGAAGCUAUUUUUGCAAAGAGAAAUUUGGCGAGGGAGAAAGGGAAAGGCAAGGAGGAAGGACCUAAACAG